UACAGAGAGUACAAGCGUUAAUCAAAAUUACUAAACGUAAAACACACAUAAACAGUUUUGUAAGUCAGAUGUGAAAUCCCUGGGCUCAACCUGGGAACUGCAUUUGAAACUGCAUGGCUAGAGUAUGGAAGAGGGAAGUGGAAUUUCCGGUGUAGCGGUGAAAUGCGUAGAUAUCGGAAGGAACACCAGUGGCGAAAGCGACUUCCUGGUCCAAUACUGACGUUCAUGUGCGAAAGCGUGGGGAGCAAACAGG
rnacentral:rRNA from 1 species